rnacentral:misc_RNA from 1 species
GAUGAAGAACGUAGCGAAAUGCGAUAAGUAAUGUGAAUUGCAGAAUUCAGUGAAUCAUCGAAUCUUUGAACGCACCUUGCGCUCUUUGGUAUUCCGAAGAGCAUGCCUGUUUGAGUGUCAUGAAAAUAUCAACCUUGACUUGGGUUUUGUGCUCUAGUCUCGGCUUGGAAUUGGGUGCUUGCCGCUUUUACGAGCGGCUCACCUUAAAUGUAUUAGCUGGAUCUGUCUUUGAGACUUGGUUUGACUUGGCGUAAUAAGUAUAUCGCUAAGGACAUUCUUCGGAGUGGCCUCGUUUCUAGGACGCUUGUCUGCUUUCCAAUACAAGUUCCACCUCGUGGACAUGACUUUUUAUUAUCUGGCCUCAAAUCAGGUAGGACUACCCGCUGAACUUAAGCAUAUCAAUAAGCGGAGGA